AGCAUAUAGAUCUAUCUCAAAUGCUCCCAGAUGUCAACUGGAAAUAGCAUUACCCUUUUUCUCUGAGAUUGUCCCUCAUGAAUACUGUAAUCUCCAUGCUAUUUAACAAGGUAUUUGCAAUGCGUGAAAAGAUUAAAUACUCAUACUGAGUUCAUCCGUAUGAGGGGAAUCAUUAUGCUACUGCAAUACUGUUGCAACUCCAUCUGUCUAAACCUAGAAAGUCUUUCUUUCAAAACCAGGCAAGUGGAAGUGGCUCCAGACAUUGGGCACCUUUGUAUUAAAAGUAUUAAAGCUGACAGUACUUUUAUUUUCUAUUUGCCAUUAUGACCUGGUCCCCCUUUGUCCUGGCUUUGUGACCAAGGAUUGGACACUUAACAAUUCCCAAAAGGUCCCUUUCCUUAACUCUUAACAAAGUGUUAGCAAGUAUUCUGUCUCUUAUUCACAGCAGAGUCUUGGGCCUUUCAGUGAGAAAGUAAAACCCAGAAUAACUUCCAGGGCAUUCGGAACAUUUCCCAUUGAAAUGCAAACACUCCUCUGGCGCCUCUGAAAAUUCUGAGAAAUUGUUGGGUUUUGGUGAUGUUUCCAGGAAACCUGGCUCUCUUCUGUUCAUGGCUAGUUCAAGUUCUUUCCUUGUCCAAGGACAUUCAAGUCAAGUCAGCAGAUGACUGUCUCUUGCAGGGCAAACUCCCAACUUGAACACUAAACAAAGAGGAAAUUUCUCACUCCAGAUUUGGAAUUAUGACCAGAAAACCUCAGAACCUGAACUUUGUUACAUCUUUUCUCCAAAUGUGGUUUAUCUUCCUGACACACACCAGUCCUGUUCACAGUUCACACAGUGACCAAGCUCACAUCUGAAGGAAGACUAUUUGGAUUUCAUGGCAGACGUUUUGGACUCUCCAAUGUAGCCAUCCUGAAUGAUCCAAAAUUUGCCUGUCUGCAUUUUUCCAUUGUUUUUACAGCCUAUAUUCUUUAUUCCAAAGCAUCAGUAUAAAAUGUGUAAGAUGAAGUCACCUGUCUUUUCCACCCUUUAUUUCCUCAAUAAGAUAAGUAACUGAAAUGGGCACAUGACAAAAGAUUAUUUCCAAAUGCUUGAUUAGCAUAUCACCAGAUUCCAAUCUUAGCUAGAAGGAACUUCACAACCUUACUGCCUGCACUAUGUGAACUUGUUCCUGUGAUGCCAUCAUAUGAUAGAGGCAAUCCUUGCAGUUUUACAUGCACCCACCUCGUGGGCAGGAUGGUGUCUGGUUUUUCUUUUGUUGCUCAUAGACUGAGCUCCAUGAACACACUAAAUGAUUGUGGCUGAAGGGAAAAUUUAUCUAACAACUGCUAGCCUGAUGAAGGAAGAACAGGGAAGAUUCAUGCUGAAGCAGAGAAGGAGAUCUCAUCUGGGUUGGAGCUAGAAGUCACUAAUGCCUGUGGAAGAAGAGCUCGUGAAGACUAAGAAAGAAUUAAUUGGAAUUAUGACCAGGUCCUGUGCAGCACUUGAACCCAAUAAACCAUCUGCAAUCUCCAUGCUCAUCAAAUAGGAAAUCUUAAAUAUAAUGAAAUCCAAAGGAAAACUUAGAUGAAAAAUUCUGACAUAUAAUACAAGUUAAGAACACUAUUCAGUCAUAGCAAAACAAUUAAAUCCUGCCAUUUGCAACUGCAUGCAUGGAACUGAAGAUCAUUAUGGAAUGUGAAAUAAGCCAGGGGAGGAAAGCAAGAACCUCAUGAUUGCAUUCACAUGUGAAAUCUAAAAUACUUGAACUCAUAGAAGCUGAGGGUAGGAGAUCACCAAAGGCUGAGACAGUGGAGUGGGGCAAGGUACAGGGACAGGUUGACCAAGGAGUACUAAAUUAUAGUUAGAUAGGAUAUGAUGUUCCUGUGUGCUAUUGCACAGAAGGGUGGCUAGAGAUAACAAUAAUGUGCUGUAUAUUUUCAAAAUCUAGGAGAAAGGAUUUUGAAAGUUUUCACUACAGAGAAGUAAUAAAUGUCUGCGGCAAUCAGUAUGUUUAACCUGAUUUAAACAUCGUGUUAUGUGUACACAUGUCA
rnacentral:lncRNA from 1 species